UCGGCUUAGAGUUUGAUCAUGGCUCAGGACGAACGCUGGCGGCGUGCUUAACACAUGCAAGUCGAACGGAAAAGACUUCGGUCAGGUUAGUGGCGGACGGGUGAGUAACGCGUGAGGAACCUGCCUUUGAGAGGGGAAUAACAACGAGAAAUCGUUGCUAAUACCGCAUAAGACCACAUCGCAUGAUCAGAGGUCAAAGAUUUAUCGCUCAAAGAUGGCCUCGCGUCCCAUUAGCUAGUUGGUGAGGUAACGGCCCACCAAGGCGACGAUGGGUAGCCGAGCUGAGAGGCUGAUCGGCCACACUGGGACUGAGACACGGCCCAGACUCCUACGGGAGGCAGCAGUGGGGAAUAUUGGGCAAUGGGCGCAAGCCUGACCCAGCAACGCCGCGUGAAGGAAGAAGGUUUUCGGAUUGUAAACUUCUGUUGUGAGGGACGAAAAAAAUGACGGUACCUCAUGAGGAAGCCCCGGCUAACUACGUGCCAGCAGCCGCGGUAAUACGUAGGGGGCAAGCGUUGUCCGGAAUCACUGGGCGUAAAGGGAGCGUAGGCGGCUUAUUAAGUCAGAUGUGAAAUCCCCCGGCUUAACCUGGGACCUGCAUCUGAACUGGUGAGCUUGAGUGCCGAGAGGCAAGUGGAAUUCCUAGUGUAGCGGUGGAAUGCGU
rnacentral:rRNA from 2 species